CGCAGAGCUUUAUUAACCGUUAGAGAGUUAAUAUCUUCCAAUCAGCGGCCAGGGAAUGGGUGAGCAGAGAUCUGAUUGGUAGGCGAGGUCAUUACCGGUAGUGCGCAGCCGUAGAUUCAACCGAGAUAAACUUCUAUAAUAAUACCGCACAUGGAAAAAUCAAAAGAACGAUGUUAGAAAUCAAAUGUACAUCCAACCUACAACUGACCUCCAGGUAAGAUUGUUGCAGCUCAAACAGUUGUCACUGGUCAAAUGUAUCAUUUCAGAGGCUUUUAUCCCAUGGCUCUGCUAUAGACUAGCGUCCUGUCCAGGGGGUUUACUUGUACAUCAAGCUGCCUCACACUACAGAAACAGGAGAUAGGCUCCUGCCCUUGCUCUUUUGCACCCCAGUAUUUCUACAUUGCACAUUCAUCUUCUGCACAUCCUACCAUUCCAGUGUUUAAUUGCUAUAUUGUAAUUACUUCGCCACUAUGGCCUAUUUAUUGCCUUUACCUCCCUUAUCUUACCUCAUUUGCUCACAUUGUAUAUAGACUUGUUUUUGUACUGUAUUAUUGACUGUAUGUUUGUUUUAUUCCAUGUGUAACUGUGUUGUUGUUUGUGUCGAACUGCUUUGCUUUAUUCUUCGCCAGGUCGCAGUUGUAAAUGACAACUUGUUCUCAACUUGCCUACCUGGUUAAAUAAUGGCGAAAUAUACAUAUAUAUAUUUUAAAUGAGCUGGUCUGGCUUAGAUGAAGCUACUUUACAGUUCUAUUCAGUAUGAACAGGGGCAUACAGGUAUCAAACCCACAACUCCAGUGUUGUAACACAGGGUCAGGAAUAAGCUAUUUAUAGUGUGUGGGUUAGGAAAUUCUUUGUCAAUAUAUUCUGUCUGUAUUGUUUGUCUAUAUUCCGUCUAUAUUGUUUGUCUAUAUUCUGUCUGUAUUCUGUUUGUCUAUAUUCUGUCUGUAUUGUUUGUCUAUAUUCUGUCUGUAUUGUUUGUCUAUAUUCUGUCUGUAUUCUGUUUGUCUGUAUUCUGUUUGUCUAUAUUCUGUCUGUAUUGUUUGUCUAUUAUCUGUCUGUAUUGUUUGUCUAUAUUCUGUCUGUAUUGUUUGUCUAUUAUCUGUCUGUAUUGUUUGUCUAUAUUCUGUCUGUAUUGUUUGUCUAUAUUCUGUCUGUAUUAUGUUUGUCUAUAUUAUGUUUGUCUAUUAUCUGUCUGUAUUGUUUGUCUCUAUUCUGUCUGUAUUGUUUGUCUCUAUUCUGUCUGUAUUUGAUGGAUCUGCAACUGGAUCCUGGACUUCCUGACAGGGCCGCCCCCUGGUGGUAAGGGUAGGUAACGACACAUCCGCUACACUGAUCCUCAACACGGUGGCCCCUCAGGGGUGCGUGCUCAGUCCCCUCCUGUACUCCCUGUUCACUCAUGACUGCAUGGCCAGGCACGACUCCAACACCAUCAUUAAGUUUGCUGAUGACACAACAGUGGUAGGCCUGAUCACCGACAACAAUGAGACAGCCUAUAAGGAGGAGGUCAGAGACAAUGACCCUGUGGUGCCAGGACAACAACCUCUCCCUCAACGUGAUCAAGACAAAUGAGAUGAUUGUGGACUACAGGAAAAGGAGGAUCGAGCACGCCCCCAUUCUCAUCUACGGGGCUGUAGUGGAGCAGGUUGAGACCUUCAAGUUCCUUGGCGUCCACAUCAACAACAAACUAUCAUGGUCCAAACACACCAAACACUUCCCUCUGCAACUGGAUCCUGGACUUCCUGGCUGGCAGCCCCCGGGUGGUAAGGUUAGGUAACGACACAUCUGCCACGCUGAUCGUCAACACAGGGGCCUGCUCAGUCCCCACCUGCAGUGGAGCAGGCUGAGAGCUUCAAGUUCCCUGGUGUCCACAUCAACAACAAACUAGAAUGGCCCAAACACACCAAACACAGUCGUGAAGAGGGACAGUUUCCUGGUGUCCACAUCACUCUAACAAAGUGAAAAUGUAGAGUUUCCAUCAACCUCUCACGCAAAAGUGUAGAUAUCAAAGAA
rnacentral:lncRNA from 1 species